AUUGAACGCUAGCGGGAUGCUUACACAUGCAAGUCGAACGAGGGGCGGACGGGUGAGUAAUAUAUCGGAACGUGCCAAGUAGCGGGGGCUAAAUACUCGAAAGAGUGCUCUACCGCAUACGAUGAGAUCGCCGGAUAUCGGAUUAGCUAGUUGGUGGGGGAAUGGAUCACAAAGGCAACGCACCGUAGCUGGUUUGAGAGGACGACCAGCAAAACUGGAACUGAGACACGGCCCAGACUCCGACGGGAGUGAGUAGUGGGGAAUUGUGGACAGUGGGUGAAACCCUCAUCCAGCCAUCCCGGGUGUAUGAUGAAGGCUUCGGGUUGUAAAGCACUUUUGGCAGAGAGGCGGUAUCUGCAGAAGAAGCACCGGCUAACUACGUGCCAGCCGCCGCGGUAAUUC
rnacentral:rRNA from 1 species